ACGAACGCUGGCGGCAUGCUAACACAUGCAAGUCGAACGGGAUCCGGACUUCGGUUCGGUGAGAGUGGCGGACGGGUGAGUAACGCGUGGGAACCUGCCCAAUGGUCUGGGAUAACCGCGGGAAACUGCGGCUAAUACCGGGUAAGCCCGAGAGGGGAAAGAUUUAUCGCCGAUGGAGGGGCCCGCCGUCCGAUUAGGUAGUUGGUGAGGUAACGGCUCACCAAGCCGACGAUCGGUAGCUGGUCUGAGAGGAUGAUCAGCCACACUGGGACUGAGAUACGGCCCAGACUCCUACGGGAGGCAGCAGUGGGGAAUAUUGGACAAUGGGGGCAACCCUAGAUCCAGCAAUGCCGCGUGAGUGAUGAAGGCCUUAGGGUUGUAAAGCUCUUUUGGCGGGGACGAUGAUGACGGUACCCGCCAGAAUAAGCCCCGGCCUAACUUCGUGCCAGCAGCCGCGAGUAAUACGAAGGGGCGAGCGUGUUCGGAAUUACUGGGCGUAAAGGGCGCGUAGGCGGCGACCCAAGUCAGAUGUGAAAGUCCUGGGCUUAACCUGGGGACUGCAUUGAUACUGGGUUGCUUGAAUUCGGGAGAGGAUAGCGGAAUUCCAGUGUAGAGGUGAAAUUCGUAGAUAUUGGGAAGAACACCGGUGGCGAAGGCGGCUAUCUGGACCGACAUUGACGCUGAGGCGCGAAAGCGUGGGGAGCAAACCGGAUAGAUACCCCUGGUAGUCCACGCCGUAAACGAUGAAUGCUAGACGCUGGGGAGCAUGCUCUUCGGUGUCGCAGCUAACGCAUUAAGCAUUCCGCCUGGGGAGUACGGUCGCAAGAUUAAAACUCAAAGGAGUUGACGGGGGCCCGCACAAGCGGCGGAGCAUGUGGUUUAUUCGAAGCAACGCGCAGAACCUUACCAACCCUGACAUGGGAAGUAUGGGCUUCAGAGUGAGGUCCUUCAGUUCGGCUGGCUUCCACACAGGUGCUGCAUGGCUGUCGUCAGCUCGUGUCGGUGAGAUGUUGGUUAAGUCCCGCAACGAGCGCAACCCUCAUCUUCAGUUGCCAUCAUUUGGUUGGGCACUCUGAAGAAACUGCCGGUGACAAGCCGAGGAAAAGGCGGGCGAUGACGUCACGUCUUCAUGGCCCUUACGGGUUGUGGCUACACACGUGCUACAAUGGCGGUGACAAUGGGGAGCAAAGGCGCGAGCCCGAGCCGAUCUCAAAAAGCCGUCUCAGUUCGGAUUGCACUCUGCAACUCGGGUGCAUGAAGUUGGAAUCGCUAGUAAUCGCGCAUCAGCACGGCGCGGUGAAUACUUCGCCGGCCUUGUACACAACCGCCCGUCACACAUGGAGUUGGUUCUACCCGAAGCCGGUGCGCGCCUAACCGCAAGGAAGCAGCCGACCACGGUAGGGUCAGCGACUGGGUGA
rnacentral:rRNA from 1 species